GACGAACGCUGGCGGCGUGCUUAACACAUGCAAGUCGAACGACGAAGAGGCGCAUCGCGGACUUCGGUUUACGUUACACUUCAGCGACCUGGCAGACGGGUGAGUAACGCGUGACCAAACUACCGCGUACAACGGAAUAGCUCCGGGGCACCGUGAUUCAGACCAAAUGACCCAUUCAUAACGCAUCUUGAGAAUGUUAAAGCUACGGCGGUACGAGAUGGUCUCGCGUCCCAUUAGCUAGUUGGGGAGGUAACGGCCCACCAAGGGGACGAUGGGUAGCCGGCCAGAGAGGGUGAGCGGUCACAUCGGAACUGAGACGCGGUCCAGACUCCGACGGGAGGGAGCAAUGGGGGAUAUUGCACAAUGGAGGGAACGCGGAGGCAGCGACGCCGCGUGGGCUAUGAAGGAAUGCGGUUCGGAAAGAACUGUGCGAAGGGAAGAAAAUGACGGUACCAGAUGAGAAAGCCCCGGCUAAAUACGUG
rnacentral:rRNA from 1 species